rnacentral:rRNA from 1 species
AGUGAACGCUGGCGGUAGGCCUAACACAUGCAAGUCGAACGGCAGCACAGUAAGAGCUUGCUCUUACGGGUGGCGAGUGGCGGACGGGUGAGGAAUACAUCGGAAUCUACUUUUUCGUGGGGGAUAACGUAGGGAAACUUACGCUAAUACCGCAUACGACCUACGGGUGAAAGCAGGGGAUCUUCGGACCUUGCGCGAUUGAAUGAGCCGAUGUCGGAUUAGCUAGUUGGCGGGGUAAAGGCCCACCAAGGCGACGAUCCGUAGCUGGUCUGAGAGGAUGAUCAGCCACACUGGAACUGAGACACGGUCCAGACUGCUACGGGAGGCAGCAGUGGGGAAUAUUGGACCAUGGGCGCAAGCCUGAUCCAGCCAUACCGCGUGGGUGAAGAAGGCCUUCGGGUUGUAAAGCCCUUUUGUUGGGAAAGAAAAGCAGCAGGUUAAUACCCCGCUGUUCUGACGGUACCCAAAGAAUAAGCACCGGCUAACUUCGUG